rnacentral:rRNA from 1 species
AUUGAACGCUGGCGGCAGGCCUAACACAUGCAAGUCGAGCGGAUGAAGGGAGCUUGCUCCUGGAUUCAGCGGCGGACGGGUGAGUAAUGCCUAGGAAUCUGCCUGGUAGUGGGGGAUAACGUCCGGAAACGGGCGCUAAUACCGCAUACGUCCUGAGGGAGAAAGUGGGGGAUCUUCGGACCUCACGCUAUCAGAUGAGCCUAGGUCGGAUUAGCUAGUUGGUGGGGUAAAGGCCUACCAAGUCGACGAUCCGUAACUGGUCUGAGAGGAUGAUCAGUCACACUGGAACUGAGACACGGUCCAGACCCCUACGGGAGGCAGCAGUGGGGAAUAUUAGACAAUGGGCGAAAGCCAGAUCCAGCCAUGCCGCGUGUGUGAAGAAGGUCUUCGGAUUGUAAAGCACUUUAAGUUGGGAGGUAGGGCAGUAAGUUAAUACCUUGCUGUUUUGCCGUUAACAACAGGAUAAGCACAGGCUGACUUCGUG